UUCGCCCUUAGAGUUUGAUCCUGGCUCAGGACGAACGCUGGCGGCGUGCUUAACCCAUGCGAGUCGAACGGAGGUUACCAGGAAUCUUGCGAAUUGUAACCUUAGUGGCGGACGGGUGAGUAACGCGUGGAUAACCUGCCUGACAGACCGGGACAACACCGGGAAACUGGUGCUAAUACCGGAUACGCUCAAGAGUGCCCAUGCACACUUGAGGAAAGGAGCAAUCCGCUGACAGAUGGGUCCGCGUCCCAUUAGCUAGUUGGAGGUGUAAAGGACCACCAAGGCGACGAUGGGUAGCCGGCCUGAGAGGGUGGACGGCCACACUGGAACUGAGACACGGUCCAGACUCCUACGGGAGGCAGCAGUGGGGAAUCUUCCGCAAUGGGCGAAAGCCUGACGGAGCAACGCCGCGUGAGUGAUUAAGGCCUUCGGGUUGUAAAACUCUGUCAUCAGGGAAGAAAAUAAUGACGGUACCUGAGGAGGAAGCCCCGGCUAACUACGUGCCAGCAGCCGCGGUAAAACGUAGGGGGCGAGCGUUGUCCGGAAUUACUGGGCGUAAAGGGCGCGUAGGCGGUUGUCCAAGUCAGAGGUGAAAACUCUGGGCUCAACUCAGAGCGUGCCUCUGAAACUGGGCGACUUGAGGGCAGGAGAGGGGAGUGGAAUUCCCAGUGUAGCGGUGAAAUGCGUAGAUAUUGGGAGGAACACCAGUGGCGAAGGCGACUCUCUGGCCUGUUUCUGACGCUGAGGCGCGAAAGCGUGGGGAGCGAACGGGAUUAGAUACCCCGGUAGUCCACGCCGUAAACGAUGGGUGCUAGGUGUAGGAGGUAUCGACCCCUUGUGUGCCGUAGCUAACGCAAUAAGCACCCCGCCUGGGGAGUACGGCCGCAAGGUUGAAACUCAAAGGAAUUGACGGGGGCCCGCACAAGCGGUGGAGCAUGUGGUUUAAUUAGAAGCAACGCGAAGAACCUUCCCAAGACUUGACAUCCCGUGACAGCUGUUGAAAGGCAGUUUCCCUUCGGGGCAGGGAGACAGGUGGUGCAUGGUUGUCGUCAGCUCGUGUCGUGAGAUGUUGGGUUAAGUCCCGCAACGAGCGCAACCCUUAUCCUUAGUUACCAGCGCGUUAUGGCGGGGACUCUAGGGAGACCGCCGGGGACGACUCGGAGGAAGGUGGGGACGACGUCAAAUCAUCAUGCCCCUUAUGUCUUGGGCUACACACGUGCUACAAUGGCCGCAACAGAGGGAGGCGAAGGUGCAAGCCGGAGCAAAACCCUAAAAAGCGGUCCCAGUUCGGAUUGUGGGCUGCAACCCGCCCACAUGAAGUCGGAGUUGCUAGUAAUCGCGAAUCAGCAUGUCGCGGUGAAUGCGUUCCCGGGCCUUGCACACACCGCCCGUCA
rnacentral:rRNA from 1 species